UACGGGGGGGGCAAGCGUUGUUCGGAAUUACUGGGCGUAAAGGGCUCGUAGGUGGCCAACUAAGUCGGACGUGAAAUCCCUCGGCUUAACCGGGGAACUGCGUCCGAAACUGCAGAGCUUGAGUACCGGAGAGGGUGGCGGAAUUCCCCAAGUAGAGGUGAAAUUCGUAGAUAUGGGGAGGAACACCGGUGGCGAAGGCGGCCACCUGGACGGAUACUGACGCUGAGACGCGAAAGCGUGGGGAGCAAACAGG
rnacentral:rRNA from 1 species